AAAUGUUAAAUUUAGAUGGAGACAAUCCAGAAAUGAGCUACCAGGAAGUGAUCGAUUUCGGACACGAAGAUUGAGAAGUGCCUGGAUACAAGGCUAGUAUUGUUAACAUCAUCUGAUACAAUCAACUGGAACAAAGCUGAAAUGGCUGCCUGACCUGACUUAAAAAUUGGAUGGCAGUACAUCAGACUAGAAGAUUACAAGUAUUGAGGUGGACAAAAUGAAACCUGAGCCUACCAAAGCUGACAGAUUGCACAAGAAACACAUAAAUGCAGAUUGGAAGAUUCAUUCUCUGGAAAGUAGAAAAGGGCAUGUUACAUACUGUUAUCACUGCCAUGACAGAAACCAUAUUGAGGAGCUGGUCCACCUGUAGGAAGAAUUGCGCUAUUGGUUGGAGCAGCACUAUUACCCAGCCAUACACCAGCACUUAGUUUGUCAUAGGGAGCAUUUCUGAGCAGUUAUGGAGACCACUAACUAUGCAGUUGUUGCAGUGAAACUUGCACCAGUGUGUUUUCUGUGGAGAUAAAGAGAUAGUGUCCAGCAAUGAAGACCCAACUCAAGAUCUGAUCUUGUAAGGCCAAUAUGAAAUAACUGUGUGGGAAAAUGGGAAAAACCUGCAGUCAGGAAUGCACGGAAAUCAUCAAAAGAACAGUGUUAAAUUAAUCUUGAAUAACUUGACAUUUAUUUUGUUUGACAUAUUUAUUCAUGGUGCAGUGAAAACAUUCUUUUUUUUCUCAUGGUUAUUUAAAUUUAGAAUUGAUAGGAGGGAACAUCACUAUGUAGUUUCAUGUUCAUAGUCAGAUCAAAACCCAUGUACAUGCCCAAAUGAGCAUUCGAAAAUAUCAAAAUGGUACUUGUUGUAUGUAGUGUAAGUUAAUUAACAUAAUAAACAAAAAUAUUUAAUCAA